GACUGUGGUCUGCAACCCGACCGCACGAAGCUGGAAUCGCUAGUAAUCGCGAAUCAGAAUGUCGCGGUGAAUACGUUCCCGGGUCUUGUACACACCGCCCGUCACACCAUGGGAGUCAGCAACGCCCGAAGUCAGUGACCUAACCGAAAGGGAGGAGCUGCCGAAGGCGGGGCCGGUAACUGGGGUGAAGUCGUAACAAGGUACC
rnacentral:rRNA from 1 species